ACGGAAGUUUAAGCAAUUAAACUUUAGUGGCGAACGGGUGAGUAACGCGUAAGCAAUCUGCCCCUAAGACGAGGAUAACAGUUGGAAACGACUGCUAAGACUGGAUAGGAGACAAGAAGGCAUCUUCUUGUUUUUAAAAGACCUAGCAAUAGGUAUGCUUAGGGAGGAGCUUGCGUCACAUUAGUUAGUUGGUGGGGUAAAGGCCUACCAAGACUAUGAUGUGUAGCCGGGCUGAGAGGUUGAACGGCCACAUUGGGACUGAGACACGGCCCAAACUCCUACGGGAGGCAGCAGUAGGGAAUUUUCGGCAAUGGAGGAAACUCUGACCGAGCAACGCCGCGUGAACGAUGAAGUAUUUCGGUACGUAAAGUUCUUUUAUUAGGGAAGAAUAAAUGAUGGAAAAAUCAUUCUGACGGUACCUAAUGAAUAAGCCCCGGCUAACUAUGUGCCAGCAGCCGCGGUAAUACAUAGGGGGCAAGCGUUAUCCGGAAUUAUUGGGCGUAAAGGGUGCGUAGGCGGUUAAAUAAGUUUAUGGUCUAAGUGCAAUGCUCAACAUUGUGAUGCUAUAAAAACUGUUUAGCUAGAGUAAGAUAGAGGCAAGUGGAAUUCCAUGUGUAGUGGUAAAAUGCGUAAAUAUAUGGAGGAACACCAGUAGCGAAGGCGGCUUGCUGGGUCUUUACUGACGCUGAGGCACGAAAGCGUGGGGAGCAAACAGGAUUAGAUACCCUGGUAGUCCACGCCGUAAACGAUGAGUACUAAACGUUGGGUAAAACCAGUGUUGAAGUUAACACAUUAAGUACUCCGCCUGAGUAGUACGUACGCAAGUAUGAAACUUAAAGGAAUUGACGGGACUCCGCACAAGCGGUGGAUCAUGUUGUUUAAUUCGAAGGUACCCGAAAAACCUCACCAGGUCUUGACAUGCUUCUGCAAAGCUGUAGAAACACAGUGGAGGUUAUCAGUUGCACAGGUGGUGCAUGGUUGUCGUCAGCUCGUGUCGUGAGAUGUUGGGUUAAGUCCCGCAACGAGCGCAACCCUUAUUGUUAGUUACCAGCACGUAAUGGUGGGGACUUUAGCAAGACUGCCAGUGAUAAAUUGGAGGAAGGUGGGGACGACGUCAAAUCAUCAUGCCCCUUAUGACCUGGGCUACAAACGUGAUACAAUGGCUGUUACAAAGGGUAGCUGAAGCGCAAGUUUUUGGCGAAUCUCAAAAAAACAGUCUCAGUUCGGAUUGAAGUCUGCAACUCGACUUCAUGAAGUUGGAAUCGCUAGUAAUCGCGAAUCAGCAUGUCGCGGUGAAUACGUUCUCGGGGUUUGUACACACCGCCCGUCAAACCACGAAAGUUGGUAAUACCCAAAGCCGGUGGCCUAACUUCGCAAGAAGAUU
rnacentral:rRNA from 1 species